rnacentral:rRNA from 1 species
GAUGAACGCUAGCGGCAGGCCUAACACAUGCAAGUCGAGGGAGAGGUUACCUUCGGGUAACCAAAACCGGCGCACGGGUGCGUAACGCGUAUACAAUCUGCCUUUCACAUAGGGAUAGCCCGAAGAAAUUUGGAUUAAUACCUAAUGGUAUAUAAGAGCGGCAUCGUUUUUAUAUUAAAGCUACGGUGGUGAAAGAUGAGUAUGCGUUCUAUUAGCUAGUUGGAGAGGUAACGGCUCCCCAAGGCGACGAUAGAUAGGAGUUCUGAGAGGGAUGUCCCCCACACUGGUACUGAGAUACGGACCAGACUCCUACGGGAGGCAGCAGUGAGGAAUAUUGGACAAUGGUCGGAAGACUGAUCCAGCCAUGCCGCGUGCAGGAUGAAGGUCCUAUGGAUUGUAAACUGCUUUUGUAAGGGAAGAAUAAGGAGUACGUGUACUUUGAUGACGGUACCUUACGAAUAAGCAUCGGCUAACUCCGUG